AAUCAACGCUGGCGGCGUGCCUAACACAUGCAAGUCGAACGCGAAAGCCCCGCAAGGGGCAAGUAGAGUGGCAAACGGGUGAGUAACACGUGGGUGACCUGCCUUAGAGUGGGGGAUAACGUCCCGAAAGGGACGCUAAUACCGCAUAACAUCCUGCCUUUGAAGAGGUGGAGAUCAAAGCCGGGGACCGCAAGGCCCGGCGCUCAAAGAGGGGCCCGCGCCUGAUUAGCUAGUUGGUGAGGUAANGGCUCACCAAGGCAACGAUCAGUAUCCGGCCUGAGAGGGCGGACGGACACACUGGGACUGAGACACGGCCCAGACUCCUACGGGAGGCAGCAGUGGGGAAUUGUUCGCAAUGGGCGCAAGCCUGACGACGCAACGCCGCGUGGAGGAUGAAGACCU
rnacentral:rRNA from 1 species